rnacentral:SRP_RNA from 1 species
GGGAGGUUGGCGGUGGACGCACCACUCGCCAACCGGGUCAGGUCCGGAAGGAAGCAGCCCUAACGAGAGCAUCGCGGGUUGCUCGUCCAGCCUCCCACC